AAUAAAUAGAAUCACCAUGGCAAAUCCGGAACAACUAAGAGAGGCUUUUAAAGGCAAGAUUGCCUUCUCCAGAAGCUCAUUCUUCAAGUCCCCUCCCCAUGCAAGCAAAGAAAGGCAUGCGCUGUGAAAGUUGCAUGGCAUGACAUCCUCUCAAACGCUACCUGACAGACUGCUGCAAUCACCCUGUGAAUAUUGUCUUCAUUUCCUUGUUGAUUGGUUUGAACCUGGGGUCAUUAUCUCUGCUUUGCAAAUGAAGAAGAGAAAGAAGCUCAAAAAGGACAAGAAACUUUCCCCAAAUCGAACAGGUAGUAAGUGAU